UACGUAGGCAGCAAGCGUUGUUCGGAAUUACUGGGCGUAAAGAGUGUGUAGGCGGUGCUCCAAGUCUGGUGUGAAAUCUCCCGGCUUAACUGGGAGGGUGCAUUAGAAACUGGAAUGCUAGAGGAUGGGAGAGGUAAGCGGAAUUCCUGGUGUAGCGGUGAAAUGCGCAGAUAUCAGGAGGAACACCGGUGGCGAAGGCGGUGGUCUGGGCCGGUACUGACGCUGGAGGAGCGAAAGCGUGGGGAGCGAACAGG
rnacentral:rRNA from 1 species